UCUUAACUAGUCAUGAUUUUCUGUUUUUCUAGAGGAGCAGAUUUUGAGACUUAGGGAGAGAAACUUUCCUAAGUUCGUGCAACUAAGUGGCAAAUGUUACUGGAACCAAAUUUGAUUCAGACCCUACCCUUUACACUUUCUCUUUGAGAUAAUAAUUUAAUACCAGUUCUCUUUAAGUCCAGUUGAAAGAAGAUCAUGAAAUGACCAAAUCCAGAUUGAUAGAUGAAGCGUAAAACAGGACCAGAUGCUGUGGUUUCCAGGAUGCAGUUGGCUUCCCAUGCUUUAUGACCUGGAGCACUUAUUGCUGCCCAUUCCUGAUGUGUCCACCAGAGAGCAGCCCCAUCCUUGAUACCCAUAGGAUUUGAGAACAUGGACACUGCAGGGG
rnacentral:lncRNA from 1 species